ensembl:lncRNA
GGCAGACCCAGCUGAGAGAGUGGAAAGCUGGAAACAUCCCGGGCUGACGCUCACAAGUUCGGGGCCCAGUGAAUCCAGGAUGCGAUCUUCUAAAUGUCCUUCACUCCGGCACCUGGACAACACAGACCCUGGGUGCACCAGCAGCAGAAGAUGCGAGCCAGGCCUCGGGAGACGACCUCUCCUCCUCCACCGCCUCUGGUCUUCGAGAUCUCCACCCGGAACCGCCUCGCUUCCCUCCGUGAGAUGGAACGCGAUGUUGUGAUUGUCGGAGACUCCAUCAUUCGGAACGUCCGUGCUACAUUAGCCGAAGUUUUAGUGUCAAUCUUGUGUGUGUUUGCUGCACUCUCGGGACAAGGUGAUGUAACUACAGGGUUGAGCCAACUUGAGACUGACUACUGUAAUUCUACAGCCUACAAUCCUGUAAAUCAGAUUUGCUGUAAUGGAAGCAUUCAUGAUCGAAGCAGUGCUCACACAAAAUGCUGUGGCCAAGUCAUGUACCUAACGACAACUCAUAUUUGUUGUGGUGGCAACAAAAUGCUUGAACUGAAGAAAAAUCUUUCUUGUUGUGGCGGUAAUUCAUUUAACAAGACGUUCCAGUAUUGCUGUUUAACAAACAACAAUGUUGAAGUGAGGCUCAAAAAUCAACCUUGCCAUUCAC